rnacentral:tRNA from 1 species
AUAGAUAUAGUAUAUCCUUAUUACCCCGGCUUUUCAAGCCGUAAAUACCUGCAACGGUUAUCUAUA